AAAGCGAUUGCCGAAAAGCUGUAUAAAAGAGUAGGCA
rfam:Microscilla marina ATCC 23134 1099589004177, whole genome shotgun sequence.